UGCUGUUGAGACCACUUUCCUGGAGUGC
rnacentral:piRNA from 1 species